AGGCGUGUGGUGUAAUGGUAACACUUCGGAUUCUGGUUCCGCCAUUCUAGGUUCGAGUCCUGGCACGCCUGCCA
rnacentral:tRNA from 1 species